CAGCAGUCGCCACGGUAAUACGAAGGGGGCUAGCGUUGCUCGGAAUGACUGGGCGUAAAGGGCGCGUAGGCGGUUUGUACAGUUGGAUGUGAAAUUCCUGGGCUUAACCUGGGGGCUGCAUUCAAUACGUGCAGGCUUGAGUGGGGAAGAGGGUCGUGGAAUUCCCAGUGUAGAGGUGAAAUUCGUAGAUAUUGGGAAGAACACCGGUGGCGAAGGCGGCGACCUGGCCCUUGACUGACGCUGAGGCGCGAAAGCGUGGGGAGCAAACAGGAUUAGAUACCCGGGUAGUCCCUGUCUCUUAUAC
rnacentral:rRNA from 1 species